rnacentral:rRNA from 1 species
UUACGGGAGGCAGCAGUAAGGGAUAUUGCGCAAUGGGCGAAAGCCUGACGCAGCAACGCCGCGUGGAGGAUGACGGCCUUCGGGUUGUAAACUCCUUUGGACGGGGACGAGCAAGGACGGUACCCGUCAAACAAGUCACGGCUAACUACGUGCCAGCAGCCGCGGUAAAACGUAGGUGGCAAGCGUUAUCCGGAUUUACUGGGCGUAAAGCGUGUGCAGACGGGGCUUCAAGUGGUGUAUGAAAUCGCUCGGCUCAACCGGGCGCGGGUAUGCCAGACUGGAGUGCUAGAGGGUGCGAGAGGGACGUGGAAUUCCGGGUGUAGUGGUGAAAUGCGUAGAGAUCCGGAGGAACCCCUGAGGCGAAGGCGGCGUCCUGGCGCACACCUGACGUUCAGACACGACAGCAUGGGGAGCGAACGGGAUUAGAAACCCGGGUAGUCCU